rnacentral:rRNA from 1 species
GCCCCGGCUAACUACGUGCCAGCAGCCGCGGUAAUACGUAGGGGGCGAGCGUUGUCCGGAAUUAUUGGGCGUAAAGGGUACGUAGGCGGCUUUUUAAGUUUGACGUGAAAGCCCGGGGCUUAACUCCGGCAAGCGUUGAAAACUGGAGGGCUUGAGUGAUGGAAGGGACAGUGGAAUUCCUGGUGUAGUGGUGAAAUGCGCAGAGAUCAGGAAGAAUACCAGUGGCGAAGGCGACUGUCUGGACAUUAACUGACGCUGAGGUACGAAAGCGUGGGGAGCAAACAGGAUUAGAUACCCUGGUAGUCCACGCCGUAAACGAUGAGCACUAGGUAUCGGGGUCAGAAGACUUCGGUGCCGCCGUUAACGCAUUAAGUGCUCCGCCUGGGGAGUACGUACGCA